AAGAGUUUGAUCCUGGCUCAGAGCGAACGCUGGCGGCAGGCCUAACACAUGCAAGUCGAGCGAGAAAGUUCCUUCGGGAAUGAUUAAAGCGGCGGACGGGGGCGUACAACAUGGAUAACCUACCUUAAGGUCCGGGAUAACCUCGGGAAACCGAAGCUAAUACCGGAUAAGACCACAUUAUCUGCGGAUAAAGGGGUAAAAGUUUUUCGCCUUUUGAUGGGUCCAUGCUCCAUCAGGUUUUUGGGGAGGUAAAAGCUCACCAAGCCGAAGACGGAUAGCCGGCCUUAGCGGGGGAUCGGCCACACGGGGACUGAGACACGGCCCCGACUCCUACGGGAGGCAGCAGUGGGGAAUAUUGGGCAAUGGGCGAAAGCCUGACCCAGCCAUGCCGCGUGAAGGAUGAAGGCCUUUGGGUCGUAAACUUUUUUCAGGAGGGACGAGGGGACUUCGGUCUUGACGGUACCUCCAGAGGAAGCCCCGGCUAACUCCGUGCCAGCAGCCGCGGUAAUACGGAGGGGGCAAGCGUUGCUCGGAUUUACUGGGCGUAAAGGGUCCGCAGGCGGUUAAGUAAGUUAGAUGUGAAAGCUCAAGGCUUAACCUUGAAACUGCAUCUAAAACUGCUCGACUAGAGUCCAAGAGGGGUCGGCGGAAUUCCCGGGGUAGCGGGGAAAUGCGUAGAUAUCGGGAGGAACACCAGUGGCGAAGGCGGCCGACUGGCUUGGAACUGACGCUCAGGGACGAAAGCGUGGGUAGCGAACCGGAUUAGAUACCCGGGUAGUCCACGCCCUAAACGAUGGAUGCUAGGGGUGGGGAUUUUAUCUCCUUGCCGAAGCUAACGCAUUAAGCAUCCCGCCUGGGGAGUACGGUCGCAAGGCUGAAACUCAAAGGAAUUGGCGGGGGCCCGCACAAGCGGGGGAGCACGUGGUUUAAUUUCGAUGU
rnacentral:rRNA from 1 species